AUUGAACGCUGGCGGCAGGCCUAACACAUGCAAGUCGAACGAGUGGCGGACGGGUGAGUAAUGUCUGGGAAACUGCCCGAUGGAGGGGGAUAACUACUGGAAACGGUAGCUAAUACCGCAUACCAUCGGAUGUGCCCAGAUGGGAUUAGCUAGGAGGUGGGGUAACGGCGCACCUAGGCGACGCUCCCUAGCUGGUAUGAGAGGAUGACAAGCCACACGGGAACUGAGACACGGGCCAGACUCGUCCGGGAGGCAGCAGGGGGAAAUAUUGAACACUGGGGGCAAGCCUGAUGCAGCCAUGCCGCGUGUAUGAGGAAGGCCUUCGGGUUGUAAAGUACUUUCAGCGAGGAGGCGUUACUCGCAGAAGAAGCACCGGCUAACUCCGUGCCAGCAGCCGCGGUAAUAC
rnacentral:rRNA from 1 species